GUGUUUUUUUUGUGUGUGAGGCAUGUUAGUCUGAAUAAAGUAUGGUCUCUACGUUAUCAGGUUAAAGCUUUCUCACAAAAGUAUCGAGUUGCUAUAGCAUACGCAAUUGACAAUGCCAAAAACGAAGCACCUAACAAUAUUUGAUACAUAUGUCACAUUUGUUAAUUUCUGUCAGAAUUACAGCUAGUGUCCACAAUGUGAAGCACAAUACAGAAUUGCAGGUUCAGCCACUCUCAAGAUAGGCUUUGCAUGAGGUGAGGCCGUUCUCAUGAUAUUUUGAAACACCAAAUCUCUUUCGUCUGCGACGGCAAAUCAAAUGCUUGGUCAAACCAGUGGAUGCUCAUCACACCACAUUUAGAGUAUCUCCAGCCGUUGGCCUCUCAGGAGGGGUUAAAAAUCGCCCCCUAGGGCGCACCGGCACUAAACCGUGCACUGGGGGCGAGAUGCCCCCAGUCGCGGCGCCCACGUUUUUUUGAAAAAGUCAAACACGGCGCAAACACGGCUCAAUUUUAUCGCAAACAUCGGCAGAUUUAAACAUAUUUUACAAUAAAAGAAAAAAACUAGCACGGGCUGCCCCCGCCGACUCCAUCGCCGCUCCUCGCCGUCUACCUCGCCGCUCGCCGCCCGCCGCCUGCCUUUACAGUUUUACAUGCCGAGGAGGCGGUAGAACCGCGUGUAGUCGCCGCCGUCGUCAUCGUCUCCGCCGCCGCCGCCGCCAUCCCUGCUGCAUCCCUCCCCCGGUUGGCGCGGCGGGUUGGACGGUCCAGGGCGUCGUCGCCGUCGUCGCUGUCGAGGAUGACGAUGCUGUGCUCGUCCUCGCGCCCACGCUUGCGGGCGGCGAUCUCCUCCAGGGCCCGAGUCUGCCGGGUCAUCUCCGUCCGGAGGUAGUCGUCCCGCGCCCACCGCAGGGCGUCCUCGUCGGAGAAGCCGCGCCAGGCUAUCUCCUUGUACUCCGCAGGGAGGCCGGGCUCCGGCUUGGGCUCGACGAGGACGAAGCGGCCGGUGAGGGGGGCGGGGGGCGGAGUCGUCGAUGCGGACGCCGGAGCUGCGGGUGCGCGCGCUGACAGGCGUGUCCUGGGGCUCCGGCUUGACGGGGCGGAGGCAGGGAGGGCCCGGCGAGCGGCCGGACAAGGAGGAGGACGCUCCGGGCCGCUCCAUGCGCCUCGGUGUCCAGGAGCUUCCAUGGCGGCGUGAGAAGGACGGGGGAGCGGGGUACUCGAGUCGCGGCGUGUUGCCGCCCUCGAUGUACUCGAGGACGGCCUCCAACAUGCGGCCGAGCACGCCCCACCACCGGCGCCGGCCAUCGGAGUUGAGCCUGCCGGAGGGCACGACGCCGUUGGUGGCCUCGAGCUGCUCGGCGUGACGGCGUCGGAAGUAGGGCUCUGAGAACGGGCUCUCGGGGACGUAUCGUGGCCCUCCCUCGCUGCUCGCGGCAGGGACGCAUGGAUACGUGCGAUCUCCGCACACCGCGCCGCCCCAGUGGGUGGUGGUGGCACCGGCACGCCGCCGACGCUGAUCCUCCAAGCCCCGGGCACCCGCAUGUCCGGCGGGACCGGGUAUUCGGCCUCGAAAAGGAGGCGAGCCUCGUCCUCGUGAAGAUGGCGGCGCUGUUGGGGAUCGUAGCAGAAAUUUAAAAUUUUCUACGCAUCACCAAGAUCAAUCUAUGAAGUAAUCUAGCAAUGAGAGGAAGGAGAGUGCAUCUACAUACCCUUGUAGAUCGCUAAGCGGAAGCAUUGCAAGAACGCGGAUGAAGGAGUCGUACUCGUAGCGAUUCAGAUCGCGGUUGAUUCCGAUCUAAGCGUCGAACCACGGCGCCUCCGCGUUCAACACACGUGCAGCCCGGUGACGUCUCAUAUGCCUUAAUCCAGCAAGGGGAGAAGGAGACGUUGGGAAAGACUCCAUCCAGCAGCAGCACGACGGCAUGGUGGUGAAGGAGGAGCGUGGCAAUCCUGCAGGGCUUCGCCAAGCACCGCGGGAGAAGAGGAGGACUUGGGAGAGGGGGAGGGCUGCGCCAGAACUUGUGUGUGGCUGCCCUCCCAUCCCCUACAUAUAUAUAGGGGCAAGGGAGAGAGGGGCCGGCCCCCUCAGAUCCAAUCUGAGGAGGGGGCGGCGGCCAGGGGGGUUGCCUUGCCCCCCAAGGCAAGGGGGGCGCCCCCCUUUAGGGUUCCCCCAAACCCUAGGUGCAUGGGCCCUAAGGGGGGAGGUGCCCAGCCCACUAAGGGGCUGGUCCCUCUCCACACACAGCCCAUAGGGCCCUCCGAGGCAGGUGGACCCUCCCAGUGGACUCCCGGAACCCCUCCGGUGGUCCCGGUACAAUACCGGUAACCCCCGAAUUAUUCCGGUGACCGUAUGAUGACUUCCCAUAUAUAAAUCUUUACCUCCGGACCAUUCUGGAACUCCUCGUGACGUCCGGGAUCUCAUCUGGGACUCUGAAUAACAUUCGGUAACCAUGUACAUCUAUUCCCUAUAACCCUAACGUCAUCGAACCUUAAGUGUGUAGACCCUACGGGCUCGGGAGUCAUGCAGACAUGGCCGAGACAACUCUCCGGUCAAUAACCAACAGCGGGAUCUGGAUACCCAUGUUGGCUCCCACAUGCUCCACGAUGAUCUCAUCGGAUGAACCACGAUGUCAAGGAUUCAAUCAAUCCCGUAUACAAUUCCCUUUGUCUAUCGGUACGAUACUUGCCCGAGAUUCGAUCAUCGGUAUCCCGAUACCUUGUUCAAUCUCGUUACCGGCAAGUCUCUUUACUCGUUCCAUAACACAUCAUCCCGUGAUCAACUCCUUGAUCACAUUGUGCACAUUAUGAUGAUGUCCAUCCGAGUGGGCCCAGAGAUACCUCUCCAUUUACACGGAGUGACAAAUCCCAUUCUCGAUUCGUGUCAACCCAACAGACACUUUCGGAGAUACCUGUAGUGAACCUUUAUAGCCACCCAGUUACGUUGUGACGUUUGGUACACCAAAGCACUCCUACGGUAUCCGGGAGUUGCAGAAUCUCAUGGUCUAAGGAAAAGAUAGUUGACAUUAGAAAAGCUUUAGCAUACGAACUACACGAUCUUUGUGCUAGGCUUAGGAUUGGGUCUUGUCCAUCACACCAUUCUCCUAAUGAUGUGAUCCCGUUAUCAACGACAUCCAAUGUCCAUGGUCAGGAAAUUGUAACCAUCUAUUGAUCAACGAGCUAGUCAACUAGAGGCUUACUAGGGACAUGGUGUUGUCUAUGUAUCCACACAUGUAUCUGAGUUUCCUAUCAAUAUAAUUCUAGCAUGGAUAAUAAACGAUUAUCAUGAAAAAUGAAAUAUAAUAUAAUAAUAACUAAUUUAUUAUUGCCUCUAGAGCAUAUUUCCAACAGUUUCCCACUUGCACUAGAGUCAAUAAUCUAGUUCACAUCGCCAUGCGAUUAACAUCACAAGUCACAUCGCCAUGUGGCCAACAUCCAAAGAGUUUACUAGACUCAAUAAUCUAGUUCACAUCACUAUGUGAUUAACAUUCAAUGAGUUCUGGGUUUGAUCAUGUUAUGCUUGUGAGAGAGGUUGUAGUCAACGGGUCUUGCCAUAUUCAGAUCCCUAUGUAUUCCGCAAAACUUUAUGUCAUAUCCUAGAUGCUGCUACCAUGUUCCACUUGGAGCUAUUCCAAAUUAUUGCUCCAUUAUACGUAUCCGGUAUCUCUACUCAGAGCUAUCCGGAUAGGUGUUAAGCUUGCAUCGACGUAACUCUUUAUGUCGAACUCUUUAUCACCUCCAUAACCGGGAAACAUUUCCUUAUUUCUCUAAGGACAAUUUUGACCGCUAUCUGGUGAUCUACUCCUAGAUCACCUUUGUACCCUCUUGCCAGACAUGUGGCAAGGCACACAUCUGGUGCGGUACUCAGCAUGGCAUACCGUAUAGAGCCUAUGACAAAAGCAUAGGGGAUGACCUUCGUCCUUCCUCUUUAUUCUGCCGUGGUCAAUCUUUGAGUCUUACUCAACUUCACACCUUACAACUCUGGCAAGAACCCUUCUUUGACUGAUCUAUUUUGAACUCCUUCAAAAACAUGUCAAGGUGUGCGUUCUUUGAAAGUAUCAUCAGGCGUUUUGAUCUAUCUCUAUAGAUCUUGAUGCCUAGUAUGUAAGCAGCUUUAUCCAGGUCUUCCUUUGAAAAACACUCUUCAAACAACCAUUUAUGCUUUCCAGAAAUUCUACAUUAUUUCGGAUCAACAAUAUGUCAUCCACAUAUACUUAUCAGAAAUGUUGUAGUGCUCCCACUCACUUUCUUGUAAAUACUAGUUUCUAGCAAACAUUGUAUAAACCUAAAAGAUUUGAUCACUCCAUCAAAGCAUAUAUUCCGACUCCGAGAUGCUCGCCCUAGUCCAUAGACGGAUCGCUAGAGCUAGCAAACCUUUUAGCAUCCUUAGGAUCGACAAAAACUUUGAUUGUAUCACAUACAACUCUUUCUUACGAAAACCGGUAAGAAAACUUGUUUUUGACAUCCAUCUGUCAGAUUUCAUAAUCGAAAAAUACAGCUAAUGCUAACAUGAUUCCGACGGACUUAAGCAUCGCUAUGGGUGAGAAAUUCUCAUCGUAGUCAACUCCUUGAACUUGUGAAAAGACUCUUUCCCACAAGUAGAGCUUCAUAGAAGGUAACAUUACCGCCCACGUCCGUCUUCUUCUUAAAGAUCCAUUUAUCUCAAUGGCUUGCUGAUCAACGGGCAAGUCCACCAAAGUCCAUACUUUGUUCUGAUACAUGGAUCCUAUCUCGGAUUUCAUGGCUUCUAACCAUUUGUCGGAAUACAGGCCCACCAUCACUUCUCCAUAGCUCGUAGGUUCAUUGUUGUCUAACAACAUGAUAUCUAAGACAUGAUCACCGCACCACUCAGGAGUAGCACAUAUCCUUGUCGACCUACGAGGUUCGAUAGCAAUUUGAUCCGAAGCUUCAUGAUCACUAUCAUUUACUUCCUAUUCAACAGACGUAGGCGCCACAGAAAACAUCUUUCUAUGUUGCAUCACUCUCUGGUUGAAGUAAAGGUUCGACAAUCUCAUCAAGUUCUAUCUUCCUCCCACUCAAUCCUUCGAGAGAAACUCCUUCUCGAGAAAGGACCCGUUCUUAGCGACAAACAAUUUGCCCUCGGAUCUGAGAUAGAAGGUAUACCCUACUGUCACCUUUGGGUAUCCUAUGAAGAUGUGUUUGUCCGCUUUGGGUUCGAGCUUCUCCGGCUGAAGCCUUAAGCAUCGCAGCCCCAAACAUUAAGAAACAACAACUUUGGUUUCUUGCCAAACCAAUGUUCAUACGACAUCGUCUCAACGGACUUAGAUGGUGUCCUAUCUAAAGUGAAUGCAGCUGUCUCUAACGCAUAACCUCAAAAUGAAAACGGUAGAUUGAUAAGAGACAUCAUAGAUCGCACCAUAUCUCAUAGUGUUCGAUUACGACGUCCGGACACACCAUUACCUUGUGGUGUUCCAGGUGGCUUCAACCGUGAAACAAUUACAUAAUGUCUUAAGUGAUUGCCAAACUCAUAACUCAGAAAAUCCCCUUUUUAUCAGAUCGUAGGAACAUGAUCUUAUUGUUAUGAUGAUUCUUAACUUCACUCUGAAAUCGCUUGAACUUUUCAAACGUUUCAGACUUGUGCUUCAUUAAGUAGAUAUACAUAUAUCUACCCAAAUCGUCAGUGAAGAUGAGAAAAUAGCGAUAUCCACCGCACGCUUCAAUUCUCAUUGGAUCACACGCAUCAGCAUGCAUGAUUUCCAACAAGUCACUUGCCCGUUUCAUUGUACCUGAAAACGGGGUCUUAGUCAUCCUGCCCAUGAGGCAUGGCUCGCAUGUGUCAAGUGAUUCAAAAUCAAGUGACUCCAAACAUCCAUCGACAUGGAGUUUCUUUAUGCAUCUUACGCCAAUAUGACCUAAGCGGCAGUGCCACGAGAAAGUGGUACUAUCAUUAUUAACUCUACAUCUUUUGGCGUGAACAUGUGUAUUACCACGACCGAGAUUCAAUGAACCAUUUGUUGGAAAUAUGCCCUAGAGGCAAUAAUAAAAGUGUUAUUAUUAUAUUUCCUUGUUCAUGAUAAUUGUCUUUUAUUCAUGCUAUAACUGUAUUAUCCGGAAAUCGUAAUACACGUGUGAAUACAUAGACCACAAUAUGUCCCUAGUGAGCCUCUAGUUGACUAGCUCGUUGUGAUCAACAGAUAGUCAUGGUUUCCUGGCUAUGGACAUUGGAUGUCGUUGAUAACGGGAUCACAUCAUUAGGAGAAUGAUGUGAUGGACAAGACCCAAUCCUAAGCAUAGCACAAAGAUCGUGUAGUUCGUUUGCUAGAGCUUUGCCAAUGUCAAGUAUCUCUUCCUUUGACCAUGAGAGCGUGUAACUCCUGGAUACCGUAGGAGUGCUUUGGGUGUAUCAAACGUCACAACGUAACUGGGUGACUAUAAAGGUGCACUACAGGUAUCUCCGAAAGUAUCUAUUGUUUUAUGCGGAUCGAGACUGGGAUUUGUCACUUCGUGUAAACGGAGAGGUAUCUCUGGGCCCACUCGGUAGGACAUCAUCAUAUGCGCAAUGUGACCAAGGAGUUGAUCACGGGAUGAUGUGUUACGGAACGAGUAAAGUGACUUGCCGGUAACGAGAUUGAACAAGGUAUUGGAUACCGACGAUCGAAUCUCGGGCAAGUAACAUACCGAUAGACAAAGGGAAUUGAAUACGGGAUUGAUUAAGUCCUUGACAUCGUGGUUCAUCCGAUGAGAUCAUCGUGGAACAUGUGGGAGCCAUCAUGGGUAUCCAGAUCCCGCUGUUGGUUAUUGACCGGAGAACGUCUCGGUCAUGUCUACAUGUCUCCCGAACCCGUAGGGUCUACACACUUAAGGUUCGAUGACGCUAGGGUUAUAAAGGAAGCUUGUAUGUGGUAACCGAAUGUUGUUCGGAGUCCCGGAUAAGAUCCCGGACGUCACGAGGAGUUCCGGAAUGGUCCGGAGGUAAAGAUUUAUAUAUGGGAAGUCUUGUUUUGGUCACCGAAAAAGUUUCGGGCGAUAUCGGUAAUGUACCGGGACCACCGGGAGGGUCCCGGGGGUCCACCAAGUGGGGCCACCUGCCCCAGAAGGCUGUGUGGGCCAUGUGUGGGAGGGGACCAGCCCCUAGGUGGGCUGGUGCGCCCCCCACAAGGGGCCAAGGCGCAAGGGAGAGUGGGAGGGGGCAAACCCUAGUCCAGAUGGGCCUUAAGGCCCACCUAGUGUGCGCCUCCCCUCUCUCCCCCUCUUGGCCGCCUCCCCAAGUCCCAUCUAGGGCUGGCCGCACCCCUUGGGGUGGGAAACCCUAAAGGGGGCGCAGCCCCCUUCUCCCCUAUAUAAAUAGAGGCCUGGGGCUGCCCAUAAUAUAUGAGAACUUCUCCUCUCGUUGGUGCAGCCCUGCCUCUCCUCCUCCUCCUCUCCCAUGGUGCUUGGCGAAGCCCUGCGGGAUUGCCACGCUCCUCCACCACCACCACGCCGUUGUGCUGCUGCUGGAUGGAGUCUUCCUCAACCUCUCCCUCUCUCCUUGCUGGAUCAAGGCGUGGGAGACGUCACCGGGCUGUACGUGUGUUGAACGCGGAGGUGCCGUGCGUUCGGCACUUGAUCAUCGGUGAUUUGAAUCACGACGAGUACGACUCCAUCAACCCCGUUCACUUGAACGCUUCCGCUUAGCGAUCUACAAGGGUAUGUAGAUGCACUCUCUUUCUACUCGUUGCUGGUCUCUCCAUAGAUAGAUCUUGGUGACACGUAGGAAAAUUUUGAAUUUCUGCUACGUUCCCCAACACCAUUCACAUAGGGUGCAUGACCAUGAAAGGUAUCAUUCAUGUAAACAGAAUAACUAUUAUUCUCUAAUUUAAAUGAAUAACCGUAUUGCAAUGAACAUGAUCUAAUCAUAUUCAUGCUCAACGUAGACACCUGAUAACAUUUAUCUAGGUUCAAUACUAAUCCCGAAGGCAGAUGGAGCGUGCGAUGGUGAUCUUAUCAACUUUGAAAACACUUCCAACACACAUCGUCACCUUUCCCUUAGCGAGUCUCCGUUUAGUCCGUAGCUUUUGCUUCAAGUCACCAAUAAUAGCAACUGGACCGGUAUCCAAUACCCAGGUGCUACCAGGAGUACUAGUGAGGUACACAUUAAUAACACGUAUAUACUUUGUUGAAGUUGCCAGCCUUCUUAUCUACCAUGCAUUUGGGGUAAUUCCGCUACCAGUGACCGUUCCCCUUACAAUAGAAGCACUCAGUCUCGGGUUUGGGUUCAACCUUGGGUUCCUUCACUGGAGCGGCAACUGGUUUGCCAUCCAUGAAGUUUCCCUUCUAACCCUUGCCCUUCUUGAAACCAGUGGUCUUGUUAAACCAUCAACACUUGAUGCUCCUUCUUUGAUUUCUACCUUUUGCGGUCUUAAGUACCGCAAACAGCUCCGGGAUCAACUCCAUCCCUUGCAUGUCAUAGUUCAUCACGAAGAUCUAGUAGCUUAGUGAUAGUGGCUAGAGAACUCUAUCAAUCACUAUCUUAUCUGGAAGUUUAACUCCCACUUAAUUUAAGUGAUUGUAGCACCCAGACAUUCUGAGCACAUGCUCAUUAGCUGAGCUAUUCUCCUCCAUCUUGUUGGCAAAAGAACUUGUCGGAGGUCUCACACCUCUCAAUACGGGCAUGAGCCUGAAAUCCCAAUUUCAGCUCUUGGAACAUCUCAUAUGUUCUACGGCGUUCAAAACGUCAUUGGAAUCCCGAUUCUAAGCCGUAAAGUAUGAUGCACUAAACUAUCAAGUAGUCAUCAGGAUGUGUCUGUCAGGUGUUCACAACAUCCACAGACGACGUUGUAGGGGUUUGCACAUCGAGCGGUGCACCAAAGACGUAAGCCUUCUGUGUAGCAGUGAGGACACUCCUCGGACUACGGACCUAGUCUGCAUCAUUGCUUACAAUAUCUUUCAACUUAAUCUUUCUCUAGGAACUUAUUGAAACAGGAAGCUACAACGUGAGCUAUUCAUCUACAACAUAUUUGCAAAGACAAUUUAGACUAUGUUCAUGAUAAUUGAGUUCAUCUAAUCACAUUAUUUAAUGAACUCCCACUCAGAUAGACAUCCCUCUAGUCAUCUAAGUGAAACAUGAUCCGAAUCGACUAGGCCGUGUCCGAUCAUCACGUGAGACGGACUAGUCAUCAAUGGUGAACAUCUCAUGUUGAUCGUAUCUUCUAUAUGACUCAUGUUCGGCCUUUCGGUCUUCCGUGUUCCGAGGCCAUAUCUGUACAUGCUAGGCUCGUUAAGUCAAUCUAAGUGUAUUGCAUGUGUUCCGAGGCCAUAUCUGUACAUGCUAGGCUCGUCAACACCCGUUGUAUUCGAACGUUAGAAUCUAUCACACCUGAUCAUCACGUGGUGCUUCGAAACAACGAACCUUCGCAACGGUGCACAGUUAGGGGGAACACUUAUCUUGAAAUUUUAGUGAGGGAUCAUCUUAUUUAAGCUAUCGUCGUUCUAAUAUGUAAAACAUGAUAAACAUCACAUGCAAUCAAAUAGUGACAUGAUAUGGCCAAUAUCAUUUUGCUCCAUUUGAUCUCCAUCUUCGGGGCUCCAUGAUCAUCGUUGUCACCGGCAUGACACCAUGAUCUCCAUCAUCAUGAUCUCCAUCAUCGUGUCUUCUUGAAGUUGUCUCGUCAUCUAUUACUUCUACUACUAUGGCUAACGCUUUAGCAAUAAAGUAAAGUAAUUACAUGAUGUUUAUGUUGACACGCAGGUCAUAAAUAAAUAAAGACAACUCCUAUGGCUCCUGCCGGUUGUAUACUCAUCGACAUGCAAGUCGUGAUUCCUAUUACAAGAACAUGAUCAUCUCAUACAUCACAUCCUUUGUCCAUAUCACAUCACAAAACACUUGCUGCAAAAACAAGUUAGACGUCCUCUAAUUGUUGUUGCAAGUUUUUACGUGGCUGCUAUAGGUUUCUAGCAAGAACGUUUCUUACCUACGCCAAGACCACAACGUGAAUUGCCAAUUUCUAUUUACCCUUCAUAAGGACCCUGUUCAUCGAAUCCGAUCCGAUUAAAGUGGGAGAGACAGACACCCGCCAGCCACCUUAUGCAACUAGUGCAUGUCAGUCGAUGGAACCAGUCUCACGUAAGCGUACGUGUAAGGUCGGUCCGGGCCGCUUCAUCCCACAAUGCCGCCGAAUCAAGAUAAGACUAGUAACGGCAAGAUAAUUGACAAUAUCGACGCCCGCAACUACUUUGUGUUCUACUCGUGCAUAGAAACUAUGCAUAGACCUAACUCAUGAUGCCACUGUUGGGGGUCGUAGCAUAAAUUUAAAUUUUUUUACGCAUCACCAAGAUAAAUCUAUGGAGUAAUCUAGCAACUAGGGAAAGGAGAGUGCAUCUACAUACCCUUGUAGAUCGCUAACCGGAAGCGUUGCAAGAAUGCGGAUGAAGGAGUCGUACUCGUAGCGAUUCAGAUCGCGGUUGAUUCCGAUCUAAGCGCCGAACCACGGCGCCUCCGCGUUCAACACACAUGCAACCCAGUGAUGUCUCCUACGCCUUGAUCCAGCAAGGGGAGAAAGAGAAGUUGGGGAAGACUCCAUCCAGCAGCAGCACGACGGCAUGGUGGUGAAGGAGGAGCGUGGCAAUCCUGCAGGGCUUCGUCAAGCACCGCGGGAGAAGAGGAGGACUUGGGAGAGGGGGAGGGUUGCGCCAAAACUUGUGUGUGGCUGCCCUCCCACCCUCCACAUAUAUAUAGGGGCAAGGGAGAGAGGGGCCGGCCCCCUCAGAUCCAAUCCGAGGAGGGGGCGGCGGCCAGGGGGGUUGCCUUGCCCCCCAAGGCAAGGGGGGCGCCCCCCCUUUAGGGUUCCCCCAAACCCUAGGCGCAUGGGCCCUAAGGGGGAGGCGCCCAGCCCACUAAGGGGCUGGUCCCUCUCCACACACAGCCCAUAGGGCCCUCCGGGGCAGGUGGACCCUCCCGGUGGACCCCCGGAACCCCUCCGGUGGUCCCGGUACAAUACCGGUAACCCCCGAAUUAUUCCGGUGACCGUAUGAUGACUUUCCAUAUAUAAAUCUUUACCUCCGGACCAUUUCGGAACUCCUCGUGACGUCCGGGAUCUCAUCCGGGACUCCGAACAACAUUCGGUAACCACGUACAUAUAUUCCCUAUAACCCUAGCGUCAUCGAACCUUAAGUGUGUAGACCCUACGGGCUCGGGAGUCAUGCAGACAUGACCGAGACAACUCUCUGGUCAAUAACCAACAGCGGGAUCUGGAUACCCAUGUUGGCUCCCACAUGCCCCACGAUAAUCUCAUCGGAUGAACCACGAUGUCAAGGAUUCAAUCAAUCUCGUAUACAAUUUUCUUUGUCUAUCGGUACGAUACUUGCCCGAGAUUCGAUCGUCGGUAUCCCGAUACCUUGUUCAAUCUCGUUACUGGCAAAUCUCUUUACUCGUUCUGUAACACAUCAUCCCGUGAUCAACUCCUUGAUCACAUUGUGCAUAUUAUGAUGAUGUCCUACCGAGUGGGCCCAGAGAUACCUCUCCGUUUACACGGAGUGACAAAUCCCAGUCUCGAUUCGUGCCAACCCAACACACACUUUCGGAGAUACCUGUAGUGAACCUUUAUAGCCACCCAGUUACGUUGUGACGUUUGGUACACCCAAAACACUCCUACGGUAUCCAGGAGUUGCACAAUCUCAUGGUCUAAGGAAAAGAUACUUGACAUUAGAAAAGCUUUAGCAUACGAACUACACGAUCUUUGUGCUAGGCUUAGGAUUGGGUCUUGUCCAUCACAUCAUUCUCCUAAUGAUGUGAUCCCGUUAUCAACGACAUCCAAUGUCCAUGGUCAGGAAACUGUAACCAUCUAUUGAUCAACGAGCUAGUCAAUUAGAAGCUUACUAGGGACAUGGUGUUGUCUAUGUAUCCACACAUGUAUCUGAGUUUCCUGUUAAUAUAAUUCUAGCAUGGAUAAUAAACGAUUAUCAUGAACAAUGAAAUAUAAUAUAAUAAUAACUAAUUUAUUAUUGCCUCUAGGGCAUAUUUCCAACAGGCGCCCGAAGCCAUUCACCGCCGCGCCGUCGCCUGAAAAGCGCUCGGCCAUUCUUUUGGACUGGAGACGGCGAGAGGAGGAAGGGGGAGAAAUGGGCGCGUCGGCGGUGUAGUGUCUGUCUGUGCCUCCGGCGCGCUGGUGGUCGGCUUAUAUAGGCGGAGGCGCCGCGUGGUAGGCUUGGCCGGCGCGUUACGCGUGGCUUGAUGGCGUGGCGGCCGAGGGGAUGCGCGUCGCCCGGCCUUCACUGCGCCGCCCGUGAGGCAUCAAUGAAGGCUGAUCGGCGCGGCAGCGCGCGCAGCGCGCAACUUUGGCAUUGAUUCGCCGCGGGAAACGAGGCGAUGAGGACGACGAAGCGGCGAGAAGAGAGUGGAGUCGCUGACGCGGCUGGCCCGCGGCUCUUCGCGCCAAAAAUGAUUCGACCGGCGUCCCCGAGCGACCCCCAACGCGCCGGGUUCGGGUUGGGUCCGCCAGUGUCAAUUUCGACCCGAGCCGGCGAAAACUGGGUCCUUGAGAACAUGACUGGGCCGAUUUUUUAACGACGGCGGCCGAAAAAUCGGCUGGAGGGCCUUCUUGGAAGCGCGGGUGGAGAUGCUCUCAGUAUCACAUCUUGCAAGCUCUCGCUCUACCUCUGCUUUGCUAUCCUCGCUCUGUUCGGAACGUUCUGAAUUUUUGAACACUUGCAGGUAGCUUCUGAACUCUGAAAUCUGAACACUUUCAGACGUCUUCAUAUUUCAGGCGUCAGGCUGAGCCUGACGCACCGCCUCUCGUUCCCCACCGCCUCCCCGCCUCCAGCCGCCGAGGGUCUCCGCCGCCGCCGCCCUCGCAUCCUUGCUCCCCCGUUCCCCCCACCCGGCACCGGCGCCGCCCCCGGCGACACUUCGCGGUUUCUUCACCCGGUCGCCCCGCUCAGGUCUCUCCCGCGUUCUAGGGUUAGCCCUCCUCUGUUCUGGGGUUUGGCUCGCCUUGCCGCGCCGCCCUUGUCUCGCCGGCAUCCCCGCACCGCCGAAGGAGCCUCGACCGCGGCCGCCCACCCUCGGCUAGUGUGCACCGCCUUCCCUAAUUACCCGAGCAGCGCCUCGUAGUCGCACGCUCCCGCAUCUGACGGGCGCUCCUUGUUUCGCCGAAUCGCGGCCAGUCCCGCGAUGGCGGCGAUGGGGCAGGAGGGGGACGACGUCGACCACUACGAGGUGCUCUGCCUGCCGUCCGGCGAGGAAGGCGCGGCGCUGAGCGUCGAGCAGAUCGAGAAGGCCUACCGGACGCAGUCGCGGCUCCGGCACCCCGACAAGCGCCCCGACGACCCCAACGCCACCGCUGACUUCCAGAGCCUCGCCAGCUCAUACAAGUUCCUCCGGGACGAGUCCCUCCGCCGUCAGUUUGACGUCCGCCUCCGUGGCCGCCGCGAGGCCGCAGCCCGCGCCGCGGCCACCGGGGUCAAGCGGCGGAAGGCCGUGUCCGACCUAGAGGAGCGCGAGCGCGCCUUCGCCGCCGGCGGAGGCCCCGCCGUCGACCCCGUCGAGCUGGCCAGGCGAGAGGAUAAGCGGAAGGCUGCCGACGUCAAGCGCGAACUCGACGAGUUCUUCGCUGCCAAGAAGUCAGGCGUCUCUGGCUCUGCUUCGACUCCGGUAAUGUCUCAGUGUUGUUUGAAUCUAUUCAAUUCAUUCGUUCUUCGUGUAGGAUUGAUAGCGCUGUGCUCUUGUUUCACCUAUAAUUGCUGCCUGCCUCUUGCUAGCGUACUUGAACCAUGCCGAAUUGCUUAAAGAUCUCAUCCAGCUAGCGUACUUCUGUAUUAGUAUUCUGCCUCAUCAUGGUUUUGUAAUCAAUUGCCCCGAAGUUGAGCUUUAGACUUUAGACGUUAGGUGUAAAUAAAAGCCAAAAUGAUGCCCCUAAAACGCAUACUUCUGAAUUAGUAUUACUGAAGAGGGACAGGGUUUGCACUUGUAACCUUGCAGAGGAAGGUGGAACAAUAUGUAACUGACUGCAUGUAGCAUUGAGGAUAAUAACCUUCAAACAGAGUAAUAGAGUAUAUAAUUUCGUACUGCGGGUGAUGAUUUUUUUAGAAGUGUUAACCUACAAACAGAGUAAUAUUCCCCAGAAAUGCAUGAACAGUACUUACCUUCAAAGUAAAAUCUUAAGGUUAUGCAAGAGAUCUGUUGAUAUGUAUCUUUUAUGUUGGUACUACUACUGACCACAACUUGAUUACUUCUCCUUUUAGGCACAUGGAGAUAAGAAGGGUGCAACUCCAGAGAACGGACCAAAAACGGACAAGGGUAAGAUCUUGAAGGUUUCUUGGGAAGGGGGUGCAGAUUACUACACUGCAGCAAAGCUUGAUGAGAUAUUUAAGCAAUUCGGCACGGUUGAAGACAUUGUGAUCAAGACUAGGAAAUCAAAGAGCAAGGGUUCAGCAAUUGUUGUCAUGGCUUCCAAGGAGGCGGCAGUAAGUUUCAUUUAUCUACUGUUUUUUUUUGUCCUGGAGAAUUUUUCUACCUUUAUUAAAAGUCUUGGUAGAUCUUGAACUAGCACAUAAAGUUGAGCUCAGUUCAGAUCGACCACAAGAUAGGAGUUUGCAAGCAAUCGCAUGCCUAUGUUUUAUCAUGCAUGGCGUCUAUCUGUCUCUGUUUAUGGUUCAAUAAUCAAUAUUGAUGCCAUUUGUUCCAUUUCCAUAUCAUAUCACCGCGUGGAUCUUUGCCAAGCUGUACUAUCUGUCGGAAUUGAUUAUAUGUUUUUGUUGUGCGGCUAACCAACACUUGUUGACUUUUUACAGCAAACUGCACUGAAGAACCAUUCUGUGUACAAUGUUUUCCCUGUCCCAUUGAUUGUUGCUUCUGUUCAAGAAUCGGGAGGGCUACCGGCAAGGUCAACUCAAACACCUGAACCGAGGACAAGCAACAUUGAUGGAACCGGGUUCAGCGAUUUGGAAGCAUCGGUAUUCCGAAAACUUCAAGAGGUACUUGCUUUGGUUCUUCUUCAUUUUCCACUGUAUUAGUUAAAUUUAAUAUUCAUUUUUUUUGCGGUUAGUGAACAAAGAAAUCCAUCUUAGAAUUAUGUUUAGUUUCUUUUACAAGGUAGUUUAGCAUAUGUGUUGCGUGAUAAGACAUAUACUUGUGUGCAUUGUACAAAUAGAUAAGCAUGAAUGCAUUUUGACUUUGCAGGCCCAGAAAAGGAAGAAAUCUGGAUAAUUGAUGCUCCUCGAGGCAUGAGGUACCGCAAGUUACAGAGGACAUUUCCCUUCGCUACAGCUGAGGAUCAUCGGGGCAAUCCAGAACAAUCUUCUAGUAUCGUUACUGUUAUUUUUUGAUGGGUAUUUUGCAUCUUAGAUACAGUAGUAGAACAAAGUUUUUGCUAGGAGAGGUGAAAGGGAAACGGAGCCAUUCCAUAUCCAUACUUGUGCUUUCGAUCGCACACUUGUGCUGGUGAAAGGGAGUAUUUUCCUAGCCCACUGAAAGGCGAACAAGUAUUACCUCCGUACUGACACAGAGGUAGUACUAAAUUACUAUCGAUUUUUGGUUGAUAUAGAUAUGCUGAUGGAAGGCAAGUCCAUAAUAAUUUGUUUACAUGAUUGAUUGAUUGUUGUACUAUUGAUCUUUUUUUGUUUUUGAGUGAAUGCCAUCAUGGCUUUAUUAAUCAAAUAAGCACACUUACAUCGUUCACUGGAUAUAUAGUAAGAAAAGACGGGGGAUCAUCUACGCAAUUACAAGAUAAAUGAUUCUCGUAACUAUGUUUCGCUAACUCAUGUGGAAUACCAUUGGCCUCCCAGAGACAGUGAGAGUAUUGAACUAUUCCUAUUUCCGUCACUAGAUCAAUACAAUCAGCAUAAACUGUAGCUUAUUCAUUCCACCACGUUUGUCCUCCUUUGCAAGCUUCAAUCACCUGCAAACAACUUCAAUCACCUGCAAACAAUCAGAUUCAGCGACGAUUUGGUGAUAGCCAAAGGAUGCCACCAGUUCGCCUUUUUUCAUUGCCAGUGCUUCCAUCAUCGAGGCCGAUGACGAGUAUGGAACAUAGGCCGAUGACGAGUAUGGAACAUAAAAACAUGCACAUGCAGGGAAAUUGCCCAUCUUGCUUCCAUCAUCGAGGCCGAUGACGAGUAUGGAACAUAGGCCGAUGACGAGUAUGGAACAUAAAAACAUGCACAUGCAGGGAAAUUGCCCAUCUUGUCAUGGAUAACCGUGCCCGUCGCCCCUUCUCCCUUUUCAAAAUGAAACGAGGCAUCUACGUUUAAUUUAACUUGGCACGAAUCUGAUUUCAUCAAUGUAACUGAUUCUCUUGUGUUAUUACUCUGAACUGUGAUGAAGUUUGUGCAUAGGGACGGAACAAAUAACUUUCUAUUCGUUGUUGUUUUGAUGAAGUUUGUGCAUAGGGACGGAACAGAUUAACUUCCUAUUCGUUGUUGGGGGCGUCCUCUCCUUGUGUCACUGUUCGUCUGAUCCAAUACCAUGUUAUUGGAUAAAGAUUUGCGGUGUUGUAAGGGCUCGUUUGGUAGCUAGAGAUUCUCUGGGCCAUUUUUCUGGGCGAAAAACCCUCGGUGGUUCAUUAACCUGGGGAAAUUUGCAAGGUCAUUUGGAGACCAUCCUGACAGGGUUUCCCCGCCACGCCAUUUGCCGGGGAAGAUUUCCAUGACUCGAGACAUCAGGCGAGAAAUCAUCAUCCUCAUCCUUGGCUUGCUCCACCUCCCCUUCCACGUGAGUUGGCUCCGCCUUUAUCUUUUCGGUACCAUUGUAUCCGUUCAUUCAUUUUGAGGCACCAUGUGCCUAUAGCUAUCCGCCGCCAUGCGAUGAAACCAAUUUCUCGAACUACAUGUCCGACUCCUCCGCUUCUUCAUGUGACGACUUUUUGUCGGCAGCCACCAGCGAUUUCACUUGUAAUUUAGAGCAUCUCUAGAAGUCCCCUUAAAAGCGGUCAAACCCGUAAAAAGUAACACAUUUACAGUUUCGAUCGAAAAAAUGGUCCGUAACAAAUCCCGUAAAGUUCGAUCGACCGUUCAAAUUUUUAAGGGGCACCGAGAAUUCAUCCGCGAGAACCUCAUAUGUACAAUUUGAAAGGCAAUAUACAAUUCAACCCGCAAACGGUCAAAUCUCAUUAAAGCAGAUGUGCCGCCGCGAAACUGGCCGAAAUCAACCCAAAACUCAUCGGAAUCUGUCGCCGCACAUCGGAAAAGGUCGCUGCCGUUCCAAACUGUGGCCAGCUCGACCUUCACCCCCAAGGCGAGCCGGCCAUGAGCGGGGUGGACCAAGCCGUCGGCAGCCCGAAUCCAGGCGGGGCGGAGCCGGAGAAGGGGCGCUGGUAGGAGGGUGCUCGGACGAGGCGGAGCACGGAUGAGAGGUCGCCGCUUGUUGUAUCGUUCAAGAUACAGUUUGUAAUACGAUAUCUGUUCUUUUCGGCCCAGUUUUACACCGUGAAAACGGUUUAAAGGGACCUUUAAACGUGUUUUUAAGGGUUGACUUUUAAGAUAUCUACUAGAGAUGCUCUUACAAUAGGUUUGUCUGCUUAUGUCUUCCCUGCGCUUCAGCAAGGCUGUGCCAUUCCAUCGGAGGUGCCGAAGCAGGCAUUCAGGACGAGCUCUCCCAGUUCCUGGCUUUUCUUUUUUUUUCCAUAGUUUUAAAUAGCCGGCUAUAGCCUGAAAAUUCGAAUCUGAGCCCGAGCUCAUUUGCACCUGCGCUCACCAAAAAAAAUCAAAAUAAAUACUAAAAAGAUCCAAAAAAUUUCAAAAAAAAUUAGGAUGGUAGACAAUUUGAUGCGUGAGGUACGCUCUAAUUUUUAAAAUAUUUGGACUUCUGUGCAGCUCUCAGCAAAAAGGACAAAUCAGAGGUCUGUAAAAAUGUGUACUGUUCAUAUACUGUUCUAAUCUGAUUUGUCUUUUUUGCUGAAAACUGCACAGAAGUCCAAAUGUUUUGAAAAUUGAAGUGUACCUCACGCAUCAAAUUGUCUACCACCCUAAUUUCUUUUGGAAUUUUCUGAAUUUUUCUAAUUUUUUUAUGAAUUUUGUUUGACCGGGUGCAAAUUCAUAUACAAUUUGCCGCUAUAGCUGUUUUUAAGGAUCGCCGCUAAAUGCCAUAGCCCGCUAUUUAAAACAUUGAUUUUUUCUCAUGAACCUGGUUUCCCAAAUGACAGAAAAAUUCUCACCCGCUGCUUGUUUACCUAAGUGCUGUACCCCUGACAACCAAAUAAGACUAAAUUGAUUGAUAGCCGCCACAUCUAUCCUUUCUCACCUUUUACAUGAAUUCGUUUUUUACUUAUUGCAUGAAUCCUCAAGUCUUAUACCGUGCUCCUCAUGGCUGAAUAAUAUCAAACUAAGUGGGAAAAGCAUGGAUUCAACAAAACGACGAAACUUCAACCAUAGCAAGAUUGUAUAGAGAAACACCAGAAUCCUCGAACAGACAUAAAAGCCAAAACGUUCGUGAGCAAUUGCCCAGAACAAAUAACGUAGGUGAACACCAAUCAGCCACACCCAAAACGGUAAAGCACAGGUAAACAUCACACAGUAGUGGAACUUACGCCGGAUUUAUAAGCAUUACUGACAGGUAAACAUUCGGCACACCAUGCAUAAUUAUCAGGCUUGUACUUUGAUGUGAUGUGCACCAGGAUCAACCAUUUUCAUUAGACACUUCAAAAAAAGGUACUCAAAUCCCCACAGCUGAAUGUAAUAUAACACAAUCAGAUGCAGCAAAGAGCAGGUACAAACGUAAAGGAAGCAAUUCAAAAAAAAUGAGAAUUAU
rnacentral:lncRNA from 1 species